AGCUCCAAUAGCGUAUAUUAAAGUUGUUGCGGUUAAAAAGCUCGUAGUUGGAUUUCGGCGAUCAGGGGCCGGUGAUAUAUUUGUAUCUACUGGCCCAUUUGGUCGCUUGAAUAUUCGUGCAUGGAAUAAUAGAAUAGGAAGUUCGUUUCUAUUUUGUUGGUUUUAGGAUAACGACUUAAUGAUUAAUAGGGACAAUCGGGGGAAUUAGUAUUCAAACGACAGAGGUGAAAUUCUUGGACCGUUUGAAGACUAACUACUGCGAAAGCAUUUUCCAAGAGUGUUUUCA
rnacentral:rRNA from 1 species